CAAUAGAACAUUCUUGUUUCUAGGUUGAAAAUUUAUGAGAGGCCGAGACUCUGUAUUCUAAAUCUUAUCCUUUCCUUCACAUGGAUAGCUUUUUUAGACAUGGUCGCUCAAUAAAAUAUUACAAAAUUACUAGAAAUGCCCAUUUCUGUGUUUAUCACCAAUAAUCAUAUUAAUUCUUCAGAAGGCCUCUUGAGGAAUAGGGAGGAGAACAUUUUUCUGGGAAAGGGUGGGGAACAUGCCAGGAAUUAGGCUAGAUUUUCCAGGGAGAAAGUAUGAAAACUUAAUAGAAUCAGACAGUGGCAAUUAAUGA
rnacentral:lncRNA from 1 species